rnacentral:misc_RNA from 1 species
CAACUCUCAAAGUAUAUAGCU